AGAUCAUCUGUAAAUUUCUUUCUGUCCUGGGGAUUUGGAGCAUUGAAAUUUAUUAAAACUUUGAUAUCUGCUCCUGGAACAGCUGAUGUCAGUCGUAUGCCAUUUGGAUAAUCUAAGAGAUCCAGCUCUCUGGAGAAGGCUCUAAUGGUGAGAAAGGUGGAAAGAAAUGGAAGAAGAGAACAACCAGAAGCAAGACAUGCCUUCUUCUAAAAAGAAGAAUAGCAGAAGAGAGAGAGAGAGAGAUGGCAGAUACUCAGAUUACAGGAGAUGGGAAACCUUAUCAAUUUUGUACAGUUAAUAACUAUUUUGUUGAUUGGCACUACAUAUCUCAUCAGCACGUAUGCAAAAACAGGUUACUUUGUCCUGAUUAUUAUGGCUUUAUAUCAGAGAGGCAAUCAAAGGAGAAUAUGUCGUUAAAAUCUAACUUCAAAUCUUUCAUUGGAUUGCUAAAUUGCAAUGGAUACAAUUAAUUUAAAUUGAUUUCUGUACAAUAUAAAUGACUCUGCUUUGAAAUGGAUCAAAUGAUAAUAAAUUUUAACUUAAG